rnacentral:snoRNA from 1 species
UUUUUACAAUGAUGAGAAACCUUUUUCAAUAUUAAUACAGUUAUCCCUGUCUUAAUAAACUAUGUCGAGAAUUUAUAAUCUGAAAGAAAA